rnacentral:rRNA from 1 species
UACAGAGGUGCCAAGCGUUAGGCGGAAUCACUGGGCUUAAAGCGCGUGUAGGCGGGUCGUUAAGUGUCCGAGUGAAAUCCCACGGCUCAACCCGUGGAACUGCCGGGCAUACUGGCGAUCUUGAGGCAUUCAGGGGCGAGCGGAACAAAUGGUGGAGCGGUGAAAUGCGUAGAUAUCAUUUGGAACGCCAAUGGUGAAAACAGCUCGCUGGGAAUGAUCUGACGCUGAGACGCGAAAGCCAGGGGAGCGAACGGG